CUGUUUAGGUAAAGUAGAGGAAGUUAGCACUCCCCUUGAUAAAGAUGGAAGAGGUCCUAGUGGCCUAUACAGACAUGGUUAAAGCAUUGCCACUUUUUUCAUGGCAUCUAAACAUACUUCUGC